rnacentral:lncRNA from 1 species
UAUUUCUAAACCACAGUUGGUCGUGUGGGUUGCAUGCUUUGAGAUUCAUGGAGAAUUGGAAUGGAAAAGACUUGUCCAGCGAGUUCUACACAAUGGUAUUAUUCAAUCGCAUUCAGCUACGUACAUAAGUCCUAUAUAUAUACUGACUGCAAUUGAUUCACAAUCCACUGCAGGACACAACCACUCUAUACCGACAAAAGGUGGCUUCUGACCUUAUCAAUAGUUCUCUGAAUAUUAUCAUCGAAGUGCAAGAAGAUAUAGCUCAUCUACACACCGAAGCAGCAAAAGAUGCAAUUUCUGACCCAACGAAGAAGCACUGAGACCUCGUUUCAUGUCUAUGUACAAAUGUAUCUAGUUAUUGUUGCUGUAAAACUUUUAUUUUGGGGAUGACUAAUGUAAUGCACACUGAGCAUAUAUUCAGAUACACAUC